rnacentral:lncRNA from 1 species
UCUCUCAGGGGUCCAUCACUUGAAAACUAUCUGUUGCUCCAAAUUUCCAGUCUCUUUUGCCUUCCCCAGUUCAGACUGGCCUGAGCCAAUAAUUGUUUGGAGUGAGUGGGACCAUCUUAUAUCCUAUUGUCCACCUGCAAAGUAGUUGACAGUGGCUACAGCAUUACCACAACUGAAAUGUCCCCAGCACCAGAGGACCGCCAU